GACUUGCGAUUGCAACAUCGAUGGUUGGAGCGGAGGACCCGUGUUUUGGGGCUUACUUUCUGCGUGAAAGGGGACACCUCUCAGUCCUAGCCCGUCAGCUAACUUCGUCGGCAACGAGGGGAGAUUCU
rnacentral:sRNA from 2 species